AGAGCGAACGCUGGCGGCAGGCCUAACACAUGCAAGUCGAGCGCCCGUAGCAAUACGGGAGCGGCAGACGGGAUAGUAACACGUGGGAACGCGCCCUUCGGUUCGGAAUAACUCAGGGAAACUUGAGCUAAUACCGAAUACGCCCUUACGGGGAAAGAUUUAUUGCCGAAGGAACGGCCCGCGUCCGAUUAGCUAGUUGGUGAGGUAAUGGCUCACCAAGGCUACGAUCGGUAGCUGGUCUGAGAGGAUGACCAGCAUCACUGGGACCGAGACACGGCCCAGACUCCUACGGGAGGCAGCAGUGGGGAAUAUUGGACAAUGGGCGCAAGCCUGAUCCAGCCAUGCCGCGUGGAUGAUGAAGGCCUUAGGGUUGUAAAGUCCUUUUAACGGGGAAGAUAAUGACGGUACCCGUAGAAUAAGCCCCGGCUAACUUCGUGCCAGCAGCCGC
rnacentral:rRNA from 1 species